CAGGGCUGGUAGCCGUAGUAGCCGGUGAUGCGCAGGAUCCUCUCCUCGAUGGAGGUGAGCCCCACGGAGGCGCUGGUGAGGUCCUCCACGGAGCGGGACCACUUGAGGUCCUCCUUGAUGGCCUCGUCCACCACCAGGAAAGGAAAUGGAGAAGUCCCAGAAAGUUACCAGGGAUAGCAAACCGUGAACGUUAUGGAGGCGUUCCUGAUAACUACAGGCAUUUGGCAGCGUGACGGAGUGCCCUGCCAGGCACGCACGCCAAUGCAGGAAGGUGACUUGGACUAAGCUACUGUCAUUUCAAGGUGUAACUGGAAUGAUGGAUGACCGUUAAUACUUUCUCCUGUCAUGCAACAACAGACCCCAAAAGGACUGUAGGAGGUGUCAAAGACAGAAAAUACAGAACAGCAGAUCUCUUCAGUGUCCCGUAUUUUGAGAAAUGCCAGAGGCAUAAAUCCCAAAGCCAAUCUGUGCUCUACAUAUACUUGGUAUCUGCCAUCAUGUUGUGCCAUUUCAAGAAAUUUAUACCUGAAAUAAAGGACUACAAAACAAAAAUUAAGGAAAGAGUAGUUACCAGUCCUGCAAGUUUUCUGCAUUUGCCUAUCAUUCCUACUUUGUCCUUUUCACUUCACUGACUGUAGUAUGAGUUUGUCUGCAAGGAGAAUCAAACAAUCUGGGAAUAAGGAGAAGGGGGAAAUUAUGGCAACAGCUAUCUACCCUGGCAAGCCCAGAAAGACCACCAAAAGAAAUAAUUGAAAAGCAGCCAUGAAGAUUUAGGGGAGAGAACGAAAGACUCCGGACAGAACAAGAAAGAAAACGUAAUGGAUUUGUGCUCAGGGAAGGCUUUAGUGAAUCAGAACACAACAUUCAUACUGCAUUUAAAGUUGCUUAUCUGGAAAGUGUGCUAGCCCCAAGAAAAAUCUGAUAAUUCUCACCCUUCAGAUAAGCUUUUGUUUUUCUAGUUUUGAAGGUGGUUUUUAAAGUUGUCAUUUUUUGAUGCAGGAAAUGCGUUGCUAGCCUUGGACUGCGCAGCUUUCUUGGCAAGGUAAUUUCUGAAGAGAAUAGAACACCUGGAGACUGAUUUGACAGGCAAUUUCUGUUGUAUAAAAUUAAUGGCAGCUGUUUGAAGCUGCUCAUGUGUCUGAAACACUAAGAAUCCCACAGCCGAACUUUUGGUCUAGCACAGAAGGUCAAGGAGUGGUUCUGUACUGUGAGGCGUAGCCACUUCCAUAUAUGCAUUUUGAAUCUAGUUCAUAAGUUAACCACACAUAUUUUCCAGUUCUUCAGGAAAUAAUUUUGGAAGCUAUUCCACAUUCUGCUACAUCAACCCAGACCCCAGUUCAACCACAUCUCCCUACAAUAUACAAAAAGGUGUUUUCUCUUAUCCUUUUAUCACCUACACUGGAUAUAUUUCAUCAUAUCAUAGCUAAGAACAGUGUAUCACUGCACUUCUUUUUCCAGCUGCUUUUUGAAAUUAAAAGACUUUGUAAAAAUAAAAAUAAAAAUAAAUAAAUCUGUUAACAUUACCAGUUUGUAGUGAGAAGAAGAACAGCAAGAACUACAGGCAGACAAUUCACAGAGGUACUAUGCAUGUCCUUCGUACCGUUCAUUUGUAUACAGGGUCAUCCCUAUGUACUGCAUAUCCACGUAAGGGCAGAUGUUAGUACUGCUUUGAGUCUCAAGCAAUACCUCUUCCUCAUAUAAAACUAUUUAGCAAUGGAAAAUGGAUUCUUUCAUCCUUUGCUUAGUAGAAUCUUUUAUUGUGGUGAUAAAUUUGGAACAAUGAGAUUAUUUGAUUAAACUUCCUCAGUCACUGCUGAAUGGACUACCCUGCUUGUAGAAUUAAUAAAAAGGCCAAGACACCUAAUUAAUAUGCUUGGUAUUGGUCUAGAUUGGCAGCAGUGCAGUUUAAUCCUGCCAAAAGGUAUUUGCUGAGGAAAGUCAAAAAGCUUUUAAAUCACUCUUAAAGGUUGAGUCAGGAGAAGAUGCCCUUGCAAAAGCUGUAAUCCUGAACUGUCCAGAAGAAUUUCCUCUUCUCCCAGGGCUGCUUACUGCACAGAACAAUGUUAAAUAACAGUUUUUCCUUGCAUUAUUCAAUGCAUCAAGCUUGAUUUUGAUGUGCAUUUUAAUUGGUAAGCUAGAUACAAAAGCUUAAGCUGGAAAAAGCAACAUGUGUUUGCAUUCUCUAGCAUUUUUAGUAGCUCAUGGUAUAGUAGUAUUACCUAUUCUAAACUCUAAAGGCAAAUUUUCAUGUACAGUAAUUGAUGGAGACCCACCACAUCACUUUCACCAGUGCCUCACAUUUCAUAUAAACAUGUACAAAUCAGAAAGACAUGGAGAAAGUGAAUGAAAAGCACCAGUUGUACAUAAUCACGCCUACCAAAAAUAUCACAAAGAUCAAGACGAAUGUCAUAACUGCUGUUUAAAAUCAUGCAUCUAUGGUAAACAUAACUACAGAAAGUUGUUAUCAAGUAAAUUGCCUCAUAAUUGUCAUACGGAAGAGCCUAUAAAACCAAUCUCAAACUUGAUUUCAACCUGUUUUGGAAACACUGUUUAGAUUUACUCACUCUGGUAUUUAUGUGCUCUGUGGCGAACAUCCCACAUAAUGAAAAUUUGCUUUACAAUAGUUUUUCUACAUGGAAAUAGUCUUUUGCAUAUAGACCAGAGCAGCUGCAUUUCUCAAAAAGAAGAGCCCAAGCAAGUUUCAAUUCAGUAAAAUUGAAAGCAAUGUUCUCCCCCAACUUGAAUUGAUCUAAUUUAUUUCAUGCUGGUGAAACUCCGCUGGCUUGAUGGAGUUGUCUCCAAUGUACAACUUCUGAAUACACAUUAGCCACUUAUUUUGAAGAGUGGCAUGAUUUUAGUGAUCAGUCACUUCAUCGUAUUUCCAAAAAAAAAAAAACAUGACUCCAAAAAAAGUUUUUAUUGCAGGUAUCAACUUCUAAUUUUGUUUAACACAAAAGCACAUAAAGCUGCUCAAAAAUCUG